rnacentral:rRNA from 1 species
GAUGAACGCUGGCGGCGUGCUUAACACAUGCAAGUCGAACGAACCUUCGGGUUAGUGGCGGACGGGUGAGUAACGCGCGAGAAUCUGCCCUCAGGAGGGGGAUAACGGCUGGAAACGGCCGCUAAUACCCCAUAUGCCGAGAGGUGAAAUGAAUUUCGCCUGAGGAUGAGCUCGCGUCUGAUUAGCUUGUUGGUGGGGUAAUGGCCUACCAAGGCGACGAUCAGUAGCUGGUCUGAGAGGAUGAUCAGCCACACUGGGACUGAGACACGGCCCAGACUCCUACGGGAGGCAGCAGUGGGGAAUUUUCCGCAAUGGGCGAAAGCCUGACGGAGCAACGCCGCGUGAGGGAUGAAGGCCUCUGGGCUGUAAACCUCUUUCUCAAGGAAGAAGAUCUGACGGUACUUGAGGAUAAGCCACGGCUAAUUCCGUGCCAGCCGCCGCGGU